UGCGAAGGGGGCUAGCGUUGCUCGGAAUCACUGGGCGUAAAGGGUGCGUAGGCGGGUCUUUAAGUCAGGGGUGAAAUCCUGGAGCUCAACUCCAGAACUGCCUUCGAUACUGGAAAGCUCGAGUCCGGGAGAGGUGAGUGGAACUGCGAGUGUAGAGGUGAAAUUCGUAGAUAUUCGCAAGAACACCAGUGGCGAAGGCGGCUCACUGGCCCGGUACUGACGCUGAGGUGCGAAAGCGUGGGGAGCAAACAGG
rnacentral:rRNA from 1 species